CGUUUUCUGUUCUGUUCCAUUAAUCUAUAUUUUUUUUGGUGCUUUGCAGGAGGCAAGUGAGGCCUAUCUGGUUGGCCUUUUUGAAGACACCAACCUAUGUGCUAUCCAUGCCAAAUGUGUAACAAUUAUGCCAAAAGACAUCCAGCAGCUCGGUAGAGUGUCGUGUUGGGAAAGAGAGUAGAUCU